AAGUCGUAACAAGGUCUCCGUUGGUGAACCAGCGGAGGGAUCAUUACCGAGUUAUACAACUCAUCAACCCUGUGAACAUACCUAUAACGUUGCCUCGGCGGGAACAGACGGCCCCGUAACACGGGCCGCCCCCGCCAGAGGACCCCCUAACUCUGUUUCUAUAAUGUUUCUUCUGAGUAAACAAGCAAAUAAAUUAAAACUUUCAACAACGGAUCUCUUGGCUCUG
rnacentral:misc_RNA from 1 species